UACGUAGGGUGCGAGCGUUAAUCGGAAUUACUGGGCGUAAAGCGUGCGCAGGCGGUUUUUUAAGUCAGAUGUGAAAUCCCCGGGCUUAACCUGGGAAUGGCAUUUGGGACUGCAAGGCCCGAGUGCGGCAGAGGAGACUGGAAUUCCUGGUGUAGCAGUGAAAUGCGUAGAUAUCAGGAGGAACACCGAUGGCGAAGGCAGGUCUCUGGGCUGACACUGACGCUCAUGCACGAAAGCGUGGGGAGCAAACAGG
rnacentral:rRNA from 1 species